UACUUGAGACAAAUUCAUUUCUUGAUGUUAAUGAGACUCUUACAGAUCCUAUACAGUCAUACCUAUGGCUGUCACAGGAGCAUGCACAAGCACACACGCAGCCAUGCGCUCACAUGCACACACAUGGAUUCAAAAGUCUUUUCUACAUGCUAUAUUCAGAAGAGAAAUGCAACCUCCGCACCAAAUUGCGACCCCCUAUAUAAAAGCAUCACCCAUGUGAAAACUGGGACACGUAGUCCCAGGGGAUAGGAGAUCUAAAGCCUUGUGAAAAAUGUGCUCUUAAGAAAUCACAACCAGGCCCACGCAGAAGUGUGCUCCCGGAGUCCUAGUUGCUCAUUUCGGGGUGCAGGAGAGUAUGGAGAAAAAAAAAAAACAUGGGGGUUUCAGGCCCAUCAGCAAUAGAGCCUUUCCACGCAGGCUUUUCCAGGGCUGGAUGGCACUUUAGCUCCCAGAAGGGGGAGCUGUGACUCCAUUUCAACUAAGGAGACACUGCUCAGAGAUUCCAAAUCUGCUCUUGGGCCCCUGUUGAGUUUAGACAGCCCAGCUCAGGCUGCAAUGAAUAUAUUUGAAAUGGUACGGGUGGGGACCUUAAAGACACUCUCCCCUGGUCAGUCCAAAUAAAACAUCUCCUUCUUAGUGCUUACAAGAGUUUAUGCCUUUGACCAAAAGUCCUGUUUUUCUCUGGAAAGAUCUUUGCCCCAGGGGUCUUCAGUUGUGGGAAGAGACAGUUUCUGAUUGGCAUCCACUGGCUUGUUGCCUCCUCCGUACCUAUCACCAGAACAGGCCACUAAAGUUAUAUAUGUAUCUCCCACUCUUCUCCUCCCCCUGCUUCCCCCUUGCUAAAAUCUAAAAAUUAACAAAUUGGCCACUGAACUCCUGGUACUCAGGGCAGAUGAGAUGAGGGUCCUGUGUAGUGGACAAGCCUUCAAAUGCCAUUCUCCAAAUACCUCCCCUCAUUUUCCAUUCUCACGCCUUCUGCAAAGAGUACCUAUGCCUUUCUCCAUCUCCCAACAUCAGUCUCACCUUUUUAAAACCCUACCUGUAUUUCCACAUCCAGCUCAAAUGACCCUCCCAAGAAGUCUUCUCCCAAAUCUUACUUUGUAAUUAAUCUCCUUUCACCCUGUUCUUUUGCAUAAUUUUGUCUGAAAUUCUAUUUUAGCUUGGAUCUCUCUUUGCCCCGCUUUACAACUUUGCAUGUGUGUGUCUCGCUGGCCCUCUUUAAUAUGGUCCAAGAUCCUAGGAGCAUCUUUUUAUCCCCAGGGACUGACUGAGAGGAGUUGCACUGGAAAAAUGUUUGCUGUUAACAUUGGAAGCCCUGUCUCAGCAGCAGCUGUAAUUUCUCUCUUUCACUUUCUUCCUGAUAACUGUUUCAUAUUUACGCAAAGCAAUGAAGGCAUGGCCUCAAAAUUAUACCACCUAUACCAAUAAUGUAAGGACACCAAUGAUGAUGCAGACAGGUAAAUUUAGGUCUUACCCGGAAGUGAAUAUGACCCUGCUGGGUUCUAAGGUUUUUAGUCUUAUUCUCAUUUAAUCUUCCCUCCCACCGAGGGAGGCAGAUACAACCCCUUUUACAGAAGAGGAAAGUGAAACUCAAGGUGACUAGGUCUUUUGCCCAAGGUCACAGGGCGAACAGAGCUACAAUUUGUGCUAAGUCCCCCUUGCCUCAGCGUCUCUGCCCUUUCCAGGGUACCACUGAGUUAAUGGUAACCUUUGUGGAUGGCCAACAGGAUUGGGUUGUUCAGAAAAUGUUAGGAAUAGUCAGGGGCAUAUUAUUAACUCUUUGAAAUUGAUGCUUCAUGACAUUCAUCAAAGGAUCUCCGUGUUUGAAGAUUUCGCUAUACCCUAACUUUUCUCCUCAUUCAAGAAUUAAGUACUCAUUUUUAGUACUUUUAGCACCAGUGAACUCUUGGCCAUGCAGGCCAAUCUACAUUGUCCUGGGAGAGCUUUGUUGGAAUGUUUUCUCAUCUUGACGCUAAAUCUGCCUUCUGUCCGUACGUCUCUAAUCAUACAAACACAAGUGUAAUUCUCUUCCAAUCUUAUAACCACAGGUAUUCCCUUCCAGACUAGAUGGGCCUAGGUUCACAGCCCUGUCUUCUAUAACAUCCAUUCAGCCCCCUCACCAAGCUGGAUGUUGUCCUGUAGGCAUCGUCCAGUUCAUGUCACUCAUGGGGUGAGUCACAGAAGGGAGAGGGUGCCCUGAAACUGAGUGACGAUUAAAAGUGGCAUUCAUUCAUUUAUUGAUUCAACCAAUAUUUAUGGGCUGCCUACCAUUUUUCAAGCAUUGCCACAGCCCCGUGCUGUCAAAUAGAACUUUCCGUGAUGCUGGUUGUGCUCCCCCUUUCGUCCCAUAUGGUUGCCGCUAACCACAUGUGACUGUUGAGCCCUUAAAACAUAGCUGGUGUUACUGAUAAAUGGGCUUUUCCUCUGAUUAAAUUUUAUUCAUUUUUAUUUCAAUUUAAAUAGCUGUAUGGGGAUGGUGGCUACCGUACUGGACCACAGAGAUCUAGGCAUUAGAAAUAUAGCAUGAACAUGGUCCUGUUUUCAUGAAGCUCUUAGUCUAGCGGGGAGAGAUUGCUGAUAAGGGAGUAACCAAAGAGAUAAGCAAAAAUAAUUUCCUGUAAUAGUAAAUAUCAUCCAAGUAAUCAUUGGGAAUGAUAGGCUAGGAAGGAAUAUAGGUCACGUAACAUUAGAUAGGGUCAUCCGAAGGGACUUGUCCUUGGAGGGGGUGCUAUUAGAGCUGAGAUGUAAAUGACAAGGUACCAGCCACUUGAUUAUGUGGGGAAAGACUAUUGGGGGCAGGGAGGAGAACGAUGAUGAAGUCACUAGGCAGGGUCAAGUUUAGCAAAUCUAAGGGAGGGUGUGUCUGAAGCUUUUGGACAAGAGAGACUGUUUUCAGAUGAUAAUAAGAAAUUGAGGGAUGAGAAGUCUCAACAUCCGCCCUUUGGAAUCUCCUUGCCUGGCAGCUCUCUCGGAGCUGAAGACAGUCUGGAGAUGGACAGAAUCUCAUCAUUACAGAUUCUCUGUGGUUUUUCAUCAUGUCCAUUUUUAAUCAGUCAUUUCAGUGAAUUCUUCUAAUCUUAAUUUCUAGUUCUGCACUGAAUGCUACACCUUCUGGAAGUAUCCAAAUCUAAAGGAAGGGAGAGGCGCUGGAGGGGGGGAAAUGGCUAGAAAGGGAGGAGGGGAGUGAAUACCUGGGGAGAAGGUAAUUGAAAUGAAGUCUGGUGGAAACGGAUGAAAGCUGGAAUCAGUGUGGAUCAGCAAAUAUUUAUUGCAUAUCUUGUGUGGGAAAGGCCUUGAACAAAAUGGCUUGGGGGGGGGGGGGGGGGGGUGAUGAAUCCUGCCAGGAUUAGAGAAGACCUGCAAAUCCUUAAGUAAUGACCGUUCAUGGGAGACUGAUAAUUGUCACUUCAGCAUUUCUGUGAGAGUUUGGGGAAGGGGGAAAUUAGAGGAGGACACAUAGGUGGUGAUGGUGGGGAGGAAGGAGGCUGAUGGCCGUGACUAUAAGGUGUUGGAGAUCAGAGACUAUGUAUCUUUUCAUCUUAUAGCUUCAUGAAUUCCAAGUUUUGUGCUGUCAAAGAUCCUGAUUCUAGUCCUAGCUCCUACCACUGUGUAUCUGGACCAUCUUAAGAAUAUACCUGCUCCUCCCCGGGCUUGACUUCUGCAAACUGAGAAGGACCGCAAGGUGGCCCACCUUAUCAAAGGGAUUUACCCAUCUCUAUCGAAAUGGCACAUGACAGUUUUUGCAGAGGUAGAGAGAGAACCAUACAUGAUGGCCACGCUUCAUCCUAAGAUUUAGAUGUCUUCUCAAAAAUGAAAAAAUCCCUAAGAAGUCACAGGGCACAGAUUGUGACUCAAGACAGGGUAGCUGAGUGGGAUGGAUGUAUCAUUCUUGUAACUCUUAAUAUCAAAGUGGUUACAUAGUAGCAUGAAACCCACUCUCCUUCUGGAACCUAGCAGCCUAGAAAGGCUGCCUAGAAAUCCACAGACAGUCCUUGCUACUGAGGGGGCAAGAAAGACAAUUAAGAAGAUAAUGAAGCUGAGGAAAAGUGAAAUUAAUUUCUUUUCUGCAUGUGAGGGUGCAGGGGAUCUUUGUCUCUCAAAGGAACUACCUUUUGGAGAUUGCAGGUGCCCUUAAGGAGAAUAGAUUGAAUAAGACUGGGUGUGAGAAAGUUAAGGGUGGUAAAUUACCAGGCCUGGCUGCUAUCCAUUGGAAAACAUGCAUAGGAAGAGAAAGCCUGGUGCAGACCUAAAAUAUAUCAUUCUGAACAAAGUCUUGUUCCCAGUUUGCUGAGAUUUUUUUUUUCCCCACAGGGUGCAGAGUGGCAAACAGCACUGUUAGGGCCAUCUUGGGAACAGCUGAGAGACUGUAUCCACCCCCCCACACCCAACAUCCCCAUCCCCCACCCCAGGAUGAGGAGGUAGAGUCAUAAGGCAAUUAACAAAAGCAAGAUGCAAUCCUUUUUUGUGUGUGAAUUGCAAAGAUUGGAGCCCAUCUGAACAGCUGGAACCGUUGGUAAGGGUUAACCCAGUACUGGCCCCAGGGGGUUUCUGAGAUGUAAUUUAUCUAACCUUUCAAAGGUCCUACAAAUGAACCAGUGGGAACCUGUCUGAGAAAUAAUAGACCCUGGGGGUAAUGUGGAGCUGCUGAGUUACAGAUGCCAGGCAGCUUCAGAUGGAGGAAGGGCAGCCAUCCAGGAUGCCUUUGCCUUUUAGAGGACCCACACUUCCAAGCGCCCAGUUCCUCUGUAGAGGAAUUUCUGGUGGGCAGUGGGAUUCCGAGAAACUCCAGAAACCCCAAGAUAAACCUCUGAAAACUGCGACAUGACAUCUGCCUUAAGUAAGUAUGUUUCGGUUUACGAGGUAGUGGAUAAACUCAAUUUCUCGUGGCAUUUGAUGGGCUCUGAGUUUACAGGCAUAUCCUAGGGGAAGGACUCACAAGAAGCCUGAGCUGGCAUUAUUCAAAAGAAAAAAAAAAAUCUGCACAAAGCACAGGAGCCAUUAAAAAAAGAAAAUCAGCACUUUGGUUUGUUUGGGACUGUCAGGAAAAAUUGAAAAUUAGAUGACCCAGUGAGGUAGGGAGUGGGGGGAGGUAAUCUGAUUUUUCUGCUGGGACAAGUUUGGGAGGCACGACUCUUUGAGAUGCAGCGGUCCUCAUCAAAUGCCAUGGCCAGAGAUGGCCAAGGCAAGGGAGGGUUGAGAGGGGUCAUAAAAAUUUUUAUUCUGCAUCUGUAUCAACAGGAUAGCAUCAUUCAAAGUCCAAUGAAGGCUUUCAACUUAUUCCUAAAAAUAUGAGUAGAUCAGCCACGGUUUUACCUGUUCUCCCCUCUUGUUUCUGGCAAUGGGAAUUAAACAUCUAGGCAGAGUGCAUAUAGGAAAGAAUUCAAGGAGUUCUGUAAGGGUCUUCACCCACAGUAUUUAGAGAUGGCAGAAAUGUCACAAUUUUAAAAUCAUUCUCGAAGUGGAACAGUGUUUGUGCCAGGCAUGUCACAAGUUCUUUGUGCUGUAGUGGGUACUUGAUGUAGAGAUUGUUUUGCAUAUUCUCAACAGGCUCCUGCAGAAGCCUUAUCAUUCCCUGGUCUAGAGAUGAGAAAACAAAGGCUCAGGGCUGUGAUGCCAUACGUUCAAGGCCACACACUGAGUUGACCACAUGUUAGGUUGUGUAGUAUUUCCCUUGAAAGUGUAGUGGUUGAAAGCUUGGAUGCCAGCGUCUGAAGGCCAGCUCUGCCACUGGCUAGCUCUCUGACCUUGGCCAGAUUACCUAAUGUUCCUGGGCCAGUUUCCUCAUCUGCCAAAUGAGGAUAAAAGUAGUCCCUCCUCACAGAGAUCUCAUGAGCGUUUAAUGAGUUUGUGUGAUGGGUGCUUUGAACAAUGCCUGGCAGAUCAUCAACACUAUCUGAACAUUAAUUAUUAUUACUUUUUAAUUACUACGCUAUCUAGUUGCCUUAGAUGAAAUGUUACUCACCCCCCAGGUAUGUUCCCCAACUGGAAAUGUCCUAUAGGAAAGAGAUUAUCGCCAGAUAUUAAGAGUGUGGGAAAAGAGGAGUUCCUGUCAUGGCUCAGUGGUAACGAACUUGACUAGUAUCCAUGAGGUCUCAGGUUCCAUCCCUGGCUUCGGUCAGUGGGUUAAGGAUCUGGCGUUGCUGCGAGCUGUGGUAUAGGUCACAGACAUAGCUCAGAUCUCGCGUUGCUCUAUCUGUGGUGUAGCCCAUCAGCUACAGUUCCAAUUUGACCCCUAGCCUAGGAACUUCCAU
ensembl:lncRNA